rnacentral:rRNA from 1 species
UCAGAUUGAACGCUGGCGGCAGGCCUAACACAUGCAAGUCGAGCGGAUGAAGGGAGCUUGCUCCUGGAUUCAGCGGCGGACGGGUGAGUAAUGCCUAGGAAUCUGCCUGGUAGUGGGGGAUAACGUCCGGAAACGGGCGCUAAUACCGCAUACGUCCUGAGGGAGAAAGUGGGGGAUCUUCGGACCUCACGCUAUCAGAUGAGCCUAGGUCGGAUUAGCUAGUUGGUGGGGUAAAGGCCUACCAAGGCGACGAUCCGUAACUGGUCUGAGAGGAUGAUCAGUCACACUGGAACUGAGACACGGUCCAGACUCCUACGGGAGGCAGCAGUGGGGAAUAUUGGACAAUGGGCGAAAGCCUGAUCCAGCCAUGCCGCGUGUGUGAAGAAGGUCUUCGGAUUGUAAAGCACUUUAAGUUGGGAGGAAGGGCAGUAAGUUAAUACCUUGCUGUUUUGACGUUACCAACAGAAUAAGCACCGGCUAACUUCGUGCCAGCAGCCGCGGUAAUACGAAGGGUGCAAGCGUUAAUCGGAAUUACUGGGCGUAAAGCGCGCGUAGGUGGUUCAGCAAGUUGGAUGUGAAAUCCCCGGGCUCAACCUGGGAACUGCAUCCAAAACUACUGAGCUAGAGUACGGUAGAGGGUGGUGGAAUUUCCUGUGUAGCGGUGAAAUGCGUAGAUAUAGGAAGGAACACCAGUGGCGAAGGCGACCACCUGGACUGAUACUGACACUGAGGUGCGAAAGCGUGGGGAGCAAACAGGAUUAGAUACCCUGGUAGUCCACGCCGUAAACGAUGUCGACUAGCCGUUGGGAUCCUUGAGAUCUUAGUGGCGCAGCUAACGCG